CAAAGAAAUCCAGGUGCA
rnacentral:misc_RNA from 1 species